UGCGGGCCACGCCGGGGGAGGGGGAGGUGUGAACGCGCGAGGGGUCGGGGUGUGCUCGCAGCCCGGGAAUGCGCGCGGCGCUGUGCUCGGGGUCCGGGAGUGCAGAGAAAACCAGCAAAUAUGUAAACGAAAGAACGGAAGCCCAGGAAUCAAAAGAGCUGUCCUGUGGUCUUGGCUGAGGUCAGACAGGAAGCGAGGAGGACCACCUGCUCCGGACACCCACCGAGGUCAAGCUGCCAUAGGCGCUCCCCGGCGAUCCUUAGUGCUUAGCAGAGAUUGGCUGCCCGGACCAAUAGCUCGAACACCAUUCCAAGUUCACCUCCACCAGGAUGGAUGUAUUGAAGGAAACAGAUUGAAAUAUUCCAGGAGGAAUCUCAAAAUUUUUCGUUUCCUAGCAGGUUUGUUUUUUUCAUUAACCCAGUAGGUAUUAUUCAAAUGCAUUACUCAGUUCUUUAUGACUAUGAAAUUACAAUGGAAAACUUUGGGCUACAGUGUUCUACCUACAUUACUUCAUUUAAUCCUCUCAGUAACUAUUAGGUGGGCAUUAUCCCCACUUUCUAGAUGAGAAAUUGAAGG